AACGAACGCUGGCGGCGCGCCUAAUACAUGCAAGUCGAGCGAGAAGACGUAGCAAUACGUUUGUAAAGCGGCGAACGGGUGAGGAAUACAUGGGUAACCUACCCUAGAGUGGGGAAUAACUAGCCGAAAGGUUAGCUAAUACCGCGUACGCUCCUUGGACUUCGGUUCAGGGAGGAAAGCGAUACCGAGGGUAUCGCGCUCUUGGAUGGGCUCAUGUCCUAUCAGCUUGUUGGGAGGUAACGGCUCACCAAGGCUUCGACGGGUAGCUGGUCUGAGAGGACGAUCAGCCACACUGGCACUGCGACACGGGCCAGACUCCUACGGGAGGCAGCGGUGGGGAAUCUUGCGCAAUGGGCGAAAGCCUGACGCAGCGACGCCGCGUGAGGGAUGACGGCCU
rnacentral:rRNA from 1 species